GCGGUCAUAGAUUAGCUGGGAGAUCGUCAGACUGAAGAUCUGAAGGUCGUGUGUUCAAGUCACACUGACCGCA